GCCAGAUGUGGUGGUGUGUUCCUGUCAUCCCAGCUACUUGGGAGGCUGAGGCAGGAGAAUUGUUUGAGCCCAGGAGUUCAAGGCUGCAGUGAACUAUGAUGGUGCCACUGCACUCCAGCCUGGGCAACAGAGCAAGACCCUGUCUCUA
ensembl:misc_RNA Metazoa_SRP Metazoan signal recognition particle RNA